UACGGAGGGGGCUAGCGUUGUUCGGAAUUACUGGGCGUAAAGCGCACGUAGGCGGCUUUGUAAGUUAGAGGUGAAAGCCCGGGGCUCAACUCCGGAAUUGCCUUUAAGACUGCAUCGCUAGAAUUGUGGAGAGGUAAGUGGAAUUCCGAGUGUAGAGGUGAAAUUCGUAGAUAUUAGGAAGAACACCGGUGGCGAAGGCGGCCCACUGGUCCGGUACUGACGCUGAGGUGCGAAAGCGUGGGGAGCAAACAGG
rnacentral:rRNA from 1 species